AGAAUCAACGCUGGCGGCGUGCCUAACACAUGCAAGUCGCACGAGAAAGGGACUUCGGUCCUGAGUAAAGUGGCGCACGGGUGAGUAACACGUGAAUGAUCUACCCUCGAGUGGGGAAUAACUGGGAGAAAUCCUGGCUAAUACCGCAUAAUACCUACGGGUCAAAGCCGCAAGGCGCUUGAGGAGGAGUUCGCGGCCGAUUAGUUAGUUGGCGGGGUAAUGGCCCACCAAGACGAUGAUCGGUA
rnacentral:rRNA from 1 species